GUUAUAUGGUCAAGUGAAGAAGCGCAUACGGUGGAUGCCUUGGCAGUCAGAGGCGAUGAAAGACGUGGUAGCCUGCGAAAAGCUUCGGGGAGUCGGCAAACAGACUGUGAUCCGGAGAUGUCUGAAUGGGGGAACCCAGCCAUCAUAAGAUGGUUAUCUUGUACUGAAUACAUAGGUGCAAGAGGCGAACCAGGGGAACUGAAACAUCUAAGUACCCUGAGGAAAAGAAAUCAACCGAGAUUCCCUUAGUAGUGGCGAGCGAACGGGGACCAGCCCUUAAGUUGUAUUGAGAUUAGCGGAACGUUCUGGAAAGGACGGCCAUAGUGGGUGAUAGCCCUGUACGCGAAAAUCCCUUUGCAAUGAAAUCGAGUAGGACGGGGCACGAGAAACCUUGUCUGAAUAUGGGGGGACCAUCCUCCAAGGCUAAAUACUACUGACUGACCGAUAGUGAACCAGUACCGUGAGGGAAAGGCGAAAAGAACCGCGGAGAGCGGAGUGAAAUAGAUCCUGAAACCGUAUGCGUACAAGCAGUGGGAGCCCACUUUGUUGGGUGACUGCGUACCUUUUGUAUAAUGGGUCAGCGACUUAUUUUCAGUGGCGAGCUUAACCGAAUAGGGGAGGCGUAGCGAAAGCGAGUCUUAAUAGGGCGUCUAGUCGCUGGGAAUAGACCCGAAACCGGGCGAUCUAUCCAUGGGCAGGUUGAAGGUUGGGUAACACUAACUGGAGGACCGAACCGACUACCGUUGAAAAGUUAGCGGAUGACCUGUGGAUCGGAGUGAAAGGCUAAUCAAGCUCGGAGAUAGCUGGUUCUCCUCGAAAGCUAUUUAGGUAGCGCCUCAUGUAUCACUGUAGGGGGUAGAGCACUGUUUCGGCUAGGGGGUCAUCCCGACUUACCAAACCGAUGCAAACUCCGAAUACCUACAAGUGCCGAGCAUGGGAGACACACGGCGGGUGCUAACGUCCGUCGUGAAAAGGGAAACAACCCAGACCGUCAGCUAAGGUCCCAAAGUCAUGGUUAAGUGGGAAACGAUGUGGGAAGGCUUAGACAGCUAGGAGGUUGGCUUAGAAGCAGCCACCCUUUAAAGAAAGCGUAAUAGCUCACUAGUCGAGUCGGCCUGCGCGGAAGAUGUAACGGGGCUCAAACCAUGCACCGAAGCUACGGGUAUCAUCUUAUGAUGAUGCGGUAGAGGAGCGUUCUGUAAGCCUGUGAAGGUGAGUUGAGAAGCUUGCUGGAGGUAUCAGAAGUGCGAAUGCUGACAUGAGUAACGACAAUGGGUGUGAAAAACACCCACGCCGAAAGACCAAGGUUUCCUGCGCAACGUUAAUCGACGCAGGGUUAGUCGGUCCCUAAGGCGAGGCUGAAAAGCGUAGUCGAUGGAAAACAGGUUAAUAUUCCUGUACUUCUGGUUAUUGCGAUGGAGGGACGGAGAAGGCUAGGCCAGCCUGGCGUUGGUUGUCCAGGUUUAAGGUGGUAGGCUGAGAUCUUAGGUAAAUCCGGGAUCUUAAGGCCGAGAGCUGAUGACGAGUGUUCUUUUAGAACACGAAGUGGUUGAUGCCAUGCUUCCAAGAAAAGCUUCUAAGCUUCAGGUAACCAGGAACCGUACCCCAAACCGACACAGGUGGUUGGGUAGAGAAUACCAAGGCGCUUGAGAGAACUCGGGUGAAGGAACUAGGCAAAAUGGCACCGUAACUUCGGGAGAAGGUGCGCCGGUGGAGGUGAAGCAUUUACUGCGUAAGCCCCUGCCGGUCGAAGAUACCAGGCCGCUGCGACUGUUUAUUAAAAACACAGCACUCUGCAAACACGAAAGUGGACGUAUAGGGUGUGACGCCUGCCCGGUGCCGGAAGGUUAAUUGAUGGGGUUAGCGCAAGCGAAGCUCUUGAUCGAAGCCCCGGUAAACGGCGGCCGUAACUAUAACGGUCCUAAGGUAGCGAAAUUCCUUGUCGGGUAAGUUCCGACCUGCACGAAUGGCGUAACGAUGGCGGCGCUGUCUCCACCCGAGACUCAGUGAAAUUGAAAUCGCUGUGAAGAUGCAGUGUAUCCGCGGCUAGACGGAAAGACCCCGUGAACCUUUACUAUAGCUUUGCACUGGACUUUGAAUUUGCUUGUGUAGGAUAGGUGGGAGGCUUUGAAGCGUGGACGCCAGUCUGCGUGGAGCCAACCUUGAAAUACCACCCUGGCAACUUUGAGGUUCUAACUCAGGUCCGUUAUCCGGAUCGAGGACAGUGUAUGGUGGGUAGUUUGACUGGGGCGGUCUCCUCCUAAAGAGUAACGGAGGAGUACGAAGGUGCGCUCAGACCGGUCGGAAAUCGGUCGUAGAGUAUAAAGGCAAAAGCGCGCUUGACUGCGAGACAGACACGUCGAGCAGGUACGAAAGUAGGUCUUAGUGAUCCGGUGGUUCUGUAUGGAAGGGCCAUCGCUCAACGGAUAAAAGGUACUCCGGGGAUAACAGGCUGAUACCGCCCAAGAGUUCAUAUCGACGGCGGUGUUUGGCACCUCGAUGUCGGCUCAUCACAUCCUGGGGCUGAAGCCGGUCCCAAGGGUAUGGCUGUUCGCCAUUUAAAGUGGUACGCGAGCUGGGUUUAGAACGUCGUGAGACAGUUCGGUCCCUAUCUGCCGUGGACGUUUGAGAUUUGAGAGGGGCUGCUCCUAGUACGAGAGGACCGGAGUGGACGAACCUCUGGUGUUCCGGUUGUCACGCCAGUGGCAUUGCCGGGUAGCUAUGUUCGGAAAAGAUAACCGCUGAAAGCAUCUAAGCGGGAAACUUGCCUCAAGAUGAGAUCUCACUGGAACCUUGAGUUCCCU
rnacentral:rRNA from 1 species